rnacentral:lncRNA from 1 species
CCCCCCCCCACUCCUCGUCCCGGGGCAUCCGCUGCAGGGGCAGGUGCUCCCCGCGCCCCGCACCCUGAGCAGCAGCCGGGGGCAGCUGCCGGAGCCCUGCUUGCAUGCCGUGGGGCUCAGCGAGGACCAGGGGCCCCCGCUGCCCGGCCCCACUCCCCCCGAGCCUGCCCAGGCUCCAGCGACCGCCAGCACCCAGACGCUGACGCCCGAUGCGGCGACACUUGCAGAGGUGCCUGAGGAGCCCCUGGAGCUGCUGGAGCUGGGCCCCGAUGCCUUCGCCGAGGCCUUUCCCCAGCUGGCAGGGGACAGCCAGCAGCUGCAGCACCUGCAGGACCAGCUCCCGGCCGACCUGGACAGCUCCGGCUUGGAGGAGCUGCUCAGCUGCCUUGAUGCCGUGGAGCCUCAGGAUGCCUUCACCGCUGUCCCCAGCAGUCCUGUCCUCAAGCGCUUCCUCUCGCAGCUGCCCGACCUCUGUGAGGACAUCGAGGAGCCGAGCACACACGGACUGGCAGCCACCAGAGCGCUGGGUGAGGUCCCCUCAAGCCCUGGGCUGCACCCUGACAAGGUGCAGGCUGGGCGGGCGCUGCAGCCCCCUGCAGCUGCUGUGCCGCCACUUAGCUCCCCCCUCAAGCCUGCAGCCCGGCCCCAGCUCAGGAGAGCCCUGCCCAAAAGAGCCCCCCAGCAGGAAUUCAUCCCUGCCCGCAGGAGAACCCUGCCCCAGCCUCCCUUGGCUCCCCUCAAGAGGCCCCCCAACCCUGACUGCCUCCCUGCCCGCAAGAGACCCCUGCCCCUGCCUCCCCAGGCUCCCGUCCAGAGCCCCCCCGACCCUGACUUCCUCACUGCCCUCAGGAGAGCCCUGCCCAAGCCUCGCUUGAGUCCCCUCCAGAGCCCCCCCGACCCUGUCUGCAGGAGACCCCUGCCCAAGCCUCUCCCCAAAAGGCCUCCCCAGCAGGAGUUCGUCCCCGCCCGCAAGAGAACCCUGCCCCGGCCUCCCUUGGCUCCCCUCAAGAGGCCUCAACUUCUCCCAGCCCUGAGGAGAGCCCUGCCCAGUCCCCCUCGCAGUCCCCUCCAGAGCCCCCCGCCUGCCCCUGCUCCCACCGGCACCAAGUGGGGGGCCAAGCGCCCCGUGCCCACCAGCACCCCCAGCACAGCGCAGAGCUCCCAGCACAGGAGGCUGAGGACAGACAAGACCCCCGGCAAGGAGAAGACGCUGCUGCUGCUGGGCCAGGCUGGCCAAGGCCCCAAGACGCUGCACCAGGGUAAGACACGUGGCCACGGCGCGCUGGCUGGCAGCAGCAGCCAAGCGGGCAGCGGCAGGCAGCAGCUGGCGAGCGACAGCACCAGGGCGCCCAGCAAGAGAGCCCGAAGCCUGGGGGCUGCUGGGGGGCAAGGAGCAGCGGUGCUGCCUCUCCGCAGAGCGCUGCUGCUGCCAGAGGCCCUCCCCAUGAAGCUCCGUGCCCAUGCCCAUGCCGUGCGGCCCCAGGGCAGGCUCCGGCCCCAAGCCAGCGGGGCCAAGAUGCUGCAGUGCCAGCAGCCGGGGACAAAGACCCCCAGCGAGACUUUUCAGCCACUGGGGGCCAGGGCCAAGGCGCUGGGGCCAGUGCGCCAGCCGCCCUGUGUGCAGCCGCAGCCCACCUCCAGCGGCCCCAGCAGCAUGCCCACGGCCCCGCCGACGCUGCCAGGCUCCAGCGCUGUGCCCGCUGCCCCCCGGCCCCCAGCUGGCCACAAGGCCCAGGCGCUGCCGGCACCACCAGGCAGCACGGCGCCAGCACGCAAAGCUCCCCUCAAGCAGGCGCCCAGAGUGCUGGGCCUGCCAGCUGCGGGGGGCCAAGCGCAGCGUCCGGCGCAGCCCCGCGGGGACUACAUGCCCUGCGUGGGGCCCUGGGCGGGCAGCGACGCAGCGCCCACACCGCUGGAGGAGCAGGAGUCGUCGGUGCCCAUCACGCCGCAGCAGCGUCCCGAGCGGGAGCGCCUCAAGAAGCUGGCCCAGGAGGAGCGGCAGCGGGCAGCCCACCACAUGAAGAUCGGCCCCGUGCAAUUCUUCGAGCAGCGGCAGAAGGACCACGCCAGAGCCUACUCUUACGGCUACCCGUGACCGACCUCGGGCUUCUCCUCGACGGCCCCUGCAGCACCCAGGCCCGCUCAGCACGCAGGCACAGAGACCUCUGCAGGCACCUGCUCCAGCUGCAGCCACGCUCCUGAGCCCUUGCCCCUCUCGCUUGGCCUCUCCCCUCUCUCGUGCUGGACCUACGCACUGCUUGCCACUCUCAGGGAUGGGCAACGGCAAAUGCCAAUGGCAAACGUGCGCGCGCCUCACCCAGGAAGGUGGCAAUGGCAAGCUGGGGGGAUGCUGGCAGCAGCUGGGCUGGGAAAGCUUGCCUGUGGCAACUGCUGCUUGGGACACCAAAGGGCUGAGAGACAAGACUUAGCCCUUCUUUCGGGGCAUUGCUCUUCUUUCCUGCCUUCUGGAUUACAUUCCUCUCCUUAGGUGGUCACUCAGCAAGGCCUCUGCCUGCAGCUCUUCUUGCACUGGGAUACCGAGGGGAUAAGAACUGGGAGGAUUUUGGGAGAGGAAAUGAUCAGUGGGAUGGGAAGUGAUGAUGGGGAUAGGAACUCAUUGGGAUGGGAAAAAUGGGUUUUAUUUUUAUUAAAUUUAAAUUUUUAAAUUUUAUUUAAUUUACUGGUUUUAUUAUUUAUUUAAUUAAAUCCACUUUAUUGACUGUGUUGUACAGUAUGGUGUUGUUUUAUUAUUAUAAAAUUAUAAGUAUUUAAUAUUAUUAAUUAAACAAUAUUUAUAUAUUUUAUACAUUAUAAAGUAUCAAUAUUUUCAUUUAUUAUUUUGUUUGUUUUUAUUCCUUUUCUACCCCAUUAAACUCUCUUUAUCACAGCGCACUGGUUUGGACUUAAUUUUUCCUUCUGAGUCAUUGUGGAUUCACUCCGGAUGGGGGGACAUUAGCGAACGCCUGUGUGCUUCAGAUCCAAGGUCACCUUUGCCCUCAACUCAAGAUACAUGUUUGCAUCUAUUGUCAUGAAGCAAUGUUAAAAACAGCAACAAUUAAGUUACCUUAUUUAUUAUUUAAUGUUAUUUCAUAAUUUCAUGUUCAGUUAUUUCAUGCAGCCCGCUCCCGCUGCCCAUGCUCAGGCCGGGCAUGGAUGUGGGCAUGGCCAGCACAGACGGCAGAAAAUGGGUGCAUGGCUGGCUGGAUGGGUGGGUGGGAGUUGGGAAUUCAGCCUUGGGAUCAGAACUGGGACGUUGUUGGGAUAGGAAAUGAUCAGUGGGAUGGGAAGUGAUGAUGGGGAUAGGAAUUCAUUGGAAUGGGAAAAAUGGGUUUUAUUUUUAUUUCAUUAAAUCCACUUUAUUGACUGUGUUGUACAGUAUGGCAUUGUUUUAUUAUUAUAAAAUUAUAAUGAUUAUUAUUUAAUCUUAUUAAUUAAACAAUUUUUAUAUGUUAUUAUAUUAUAAAUUCCUUUCUUCCUUCCUUCCUCCCUCCCUUCCUCCCUCCCUCCCAUCAACAGGUAUUCCAGAAAUGUACUUGGAGUUUUGUAUUUGCAUUCCAAUGCCCCCUUGUUUAAGUGACAACUUCUAAUUUUACCUAUAACUAGAGGCAGCAAAAGUUAGAGUAUGUUGCAUUGUACUGGGUCUGGCUUGAAUGUUAACUUUCCCGGCAGCAGCCCAUACAGUGCCGUACUCUGUACUUGUAGCUGGAACAGCAGUGUUAUCACACCAGUGUUGUGUCUAUUGCUGAGCAGCAGUGGCACAACAUUGGGCCUUUCUCUAACCCUCCUAAGGGAUGGGCAAAAAGUGAGGAGAGAAACAUCACUAGGGCAGCUGACCUAAACCAAUCAAAGGGAUAUUCCAUACCAUGUGAUGUCACACUCAGCAAUAAAAAGUGGAAACAGGAAGAAGAGGGGAGGGGU